UAUGGUGACUAUUGCGAUGGGGUCCACCUCUUCCCAUUCCGAACAGAGAAGUUAAGCCCAUCAGCGCCGAUGAUACUGCCAUUAGGUGGGAAAGUAGGUCGUUGCCAGUU
rnacentral:rRNA from 1 species